AUCCUUCUGUAGUUCAUAAACGUGAUGAUUAGGUGUUCAUGCUUUUGUGUGUGAGAUGUGCCUCCCAUAAACCUUGUUACAACAUCGGCACAUUACCUGUCUGACA